rnacentral:lncRNA from 1 species
UCAUCUCUAUCUUCUAAAUCCCUCUAUAAAACUACACCCUCAACUCAUACCUCUCACAUCAUUUCCUCUCUAUCUUUUCAUUUCUCAUGUUUUACAAAAUACAUUCUACUCUCAAUGAAUAACCUAAAGAGGGUGUUGGGGAGGCAACAGCGAGAAGAUGAAGAAAUCAGGCGCAGACAUGCUGAAGAAGAUUAUGAGUUGGAUGAAGAGGAGGAUGAAGUUG